UUGGAAGAGGAGCCACCCUCAGGGAAAGAC
rnacentral:piRNA from 1 species